rnacentral:rRNA from 1 species
UACGGAGGGGGCUAGCGUUGUUCGGAAUUACUGGGCGUAAAGCGCACGUAGGCGGAUCUUUAAGUCAGGGGUGAAAUCCCGAGGCUCAACCUCGGAACUGCCUUUGAUACUGGGGAUCUUGAGUCCGGAAGAGGUAAGUGGAACUGCGAGUGUAGAGGUGAAAUUCGUAGAUAUUCGCAAGAACACCAGUGGCGAAGGCGGCUUACUGGUCCGGUACUGACGCUGAGGUGCGAAAGCGUGGGGAGCAAACAGG